AUUGAACGCUGGCGGCAGGCCUAACACAUGCAAGUCGAGCGGAGCGGCGGACGGGUGAGUAAUGCCUAGGAAUCUGCCUGGUAGUGGGGGAUAACGUCCGGAAACGGGCGCUAAUACCGCAUACUAUCAGAUGAGCCUAGGGCGGAUGAGCUAGUUGGUGGGGGAAGGGCCUACCAAGGAGACGGUCCGUAGCUGGUCUGAGAGGAUGACCAGUCACACUGGAACUGAGACACGGUCCAGACUCCUACGGGAGGCAGCAGUGGGGAAUAUGGGACAAUGGGCGAAAGCCUGAUCCAGCCAUGCCGCGUGUGUGAAGAAGGUCUUCGGAUUAUAAAGCACUUUAAGUUGGGAGGCGUUACCAACAGAAUAAGCACCGGCUAACUUCGUGCCAGCAGCCGCGGUAAUUC
rnacentral:rRNA from 1 species